rnacentral:lncRNA from 1 species
CUGGUGUCGCGGUGCCCCCCGGCGCUGUUUGGGCUGCGCAGGGAACAGUCUCGUCCCUCUACCCAAGACAAAAAUUGCCUAAACCCAAGAAUUAAUAAAUAACGAUGUUGGAGCUGCGGGGUUCCGGAGGUGGCCUCCGUGCCUGAUAACUUCAAGUGAAAGUUAAGGACCUUUUGUCCUUAUUUGCCAUAGAGGAGACAGACACUUUUGUAAGGAGCACCAGUUUGAGCAAAAAGGAAAAGACCAUCCCUUCCCACAGCACAGCAAAGUGACAAAGACUCUGAAGAAAUGA